UCAUGAUCUGAGCCGAAGGCAGAUGCUUAACCGACUGACCCGGGUGCCCCUGCACAUUUAACUUUUAAAGAAACCACCAACUCCUUUCCCAAGUGAUUGUUAUCGUCUGAUCUACCUGCCAGCAUCAUGAAAGGUUCCCAGAGCCGAUUCCAGCAUGGUGGGGGGCGGAGCUCCUCAGAUACCACAGGGUGCCCAGAAUUCAGCUCAGUUGUGACACCGUCCAUCCAGGGACAGCGUCAGCCCCACAGCUCGUCACUCUUCACGAGGACCCUUCCAGAAAGCAGUGAGGAGAGGACAGGAAGAAUUACAGAGCAGGCACACCGGCGUGCACUUCUGCCCCGAAGCGUGAGCCCAGGCCAGAGCAAAUGGAGCUGGGAAUGGGCUGGAGCUCUCCUUUACUGAGUUGUCAGCGAGUCACUAGAUCCUCUCUUCACCUCACACACCAAGAUAACAGCCAGAAGGAAAAGGAAGAGGAAUCCCUGUGAUCAGCUGAUUCUCUUGGACGGGUCCCUGCAGCCUCCUGACUGACACAAGGCCCUGGAAACGGCAUGCGAACCCCUCGCUGAGGACCCUGACGUCUGGCUGGUAGGGACGUGCUAGCUGGCUGUGGGUUUCUGGCUCCUCACCCACGAGCACAGGUUUGGGGCUCUGUUCGGGCCUGGGCCCAUGUUUGCCUGGGGAUCCCUGCUCCACUGUGUGGAGGGCCCCACCUAUUAGUUCCCCCCCCUGGGGUCCUAGUUGGCUCAUCUGUAAAAUGGGGCAAACAUCGCUUAUUCUCAGUAGGAGCAGACGAGAUGGUGGCCCAGCACUCGGCUCGGUGAUCUGCCCAUAGUGACAAAGAAAGCUCAGGCCGCCUGAUCGCAGCCCUCCUUGAGAGCAGGAAUGAGCUGGGGUUAGGAGCAGCCUGGAGCUUGGCUGGAAGACCAUCGGGCCAUCUCUGUCUCUUUUCUGCUGUUCUAUGUUCAUCGGUCUUCCUCUCCCACUCGAGAGUGAAGGCUGAAGCUGGACACGGCUGCCCCGUGGCUCCUGGGGACACGUGACAACACGGGGCACACGCAGGGCCUGACUUGCCCGUCUCCGGCUAAGAAUAACUGCUGCAUCUUGGGCCAAGGCCCAUCUCUGGUCCACCGGGCUCCGUGUGGCUGCCUCAGCCUCACCCAGCAGUCCAGGGGCAAGAAGUGAUACACUGGAGCUCGCCCUUGGGCCCAGGAGAGCAGCCCCCCAGCUUCUCCACGACGCCAGAGGAAAACAGCCAGAUGCGCUCAUCACAAUGUGUCCUCACAUGUGUUCUCCAAAUACCCUUUACUACGACAGAUCACGUGGCACGUCUGAAAACACCCAUAAUUUUGAAGUUGGGACAAGUGUGAAUUUCAAGAUAUUCGGGACAACUGUCAUCGUCAAGGUCACGGGCACUGCUGAUGAGCUGGGUGAGGUCACACUCACAUGUGAAGGAAACACAAAAUUUCCAGUAGAAAACAAUGAAAAUAAACAGGUGACUUUUUUUCCCCCCAGCCAAGUUCGUGGAUUCUCUGAAAGUUGCCCAUGGACCCCAGGUGAAAACCACAAAAUGGGUCCCAACCAGCAUUUAAAGGAUAAGAAGCAAAACAGAGAAAAAUGUCAGCAUGUGUCUGGGGUUCCCAGCCCAAGCAAACCCCAGCCUUCCUGCUUGCUGCUGUGUGUGACCCAGGCCAAC